rnacentral:rRNA from 1 species
GUUGUAUAGUCAAGUAAUUAAGUGCAUGUGGUGGAUGCCUUGGCAGUCAGAGGCGAAGAAAGACGUGAUAGCCUGCGAAAAGCUCCGGGGAGGCGGCAAAUAUCCUUUGAUCCGGAGAUGUCUGAAUGGGGAAACCCACUUACCAUAAGGUAGGUAUCAAUACAUGAAUACAUAGUGUAUUGAGGCGAACGAGGGGAAGUGAAACAUCUCAGUACCCUUAGGAAAAGAAAUCAAUUGAGAUUCCCUCAGUAGCGGCGAGCGAAAGGGGAACAGCCCAUUAAGUUAUGUGUGUUUUAGUGGAAUGCUCUGGGAAGUGCAACCAUAGUGGGUGAUAGUCCUGUACACGAAAGGGCACACAUAAUGAUGACGAGUAGGGCGAGGCACGUGAAACCUUGUCUGAAUAUGGGGGGACCAUCCUCCAAGGCUAAAUACUCCUGACUGACCGAUAGUGAACCAGUACCGUGAGGGAAAGGCGAAAAGAACCCCUGUGAGGGGAGUGAAAUAGAUCCUGAAACCGCAUGCAUACAAGCAGUGGGAGCCGACUUGUUCGGUGACUGCGUACCUUUUGUAUAAUGGGUCAGCGACUUACAUUCAGUAGCAAGGUUAACCGCAUAGGGGAGCCGUAGGGAAACCGAGUCUUAAUAGGGCGUAUAGUUGCUGGGUGUAGACCCGAAACCAGGCGAUCUAUCCAUGAGCAGGUUGAAGGUUGGGUAACACUAACUGGAGGACCGAACCCACUGUCGUUGAAAAGCCAGGGGAUGACUUGUGGAUAGGGGUGAAAGGCUAAUCAAGCCUGGUGAUAGCUGGUUCUCCCCGAAAGCUAUUUAGGUAGCGCCUCGGACGAAUACCAUUGGGGGUAGAGCACUGUUUCGGCUAGGGGGUCAUCCCGACUUACCAAACCGAUGCAAACUCCGAAUACCGAUGAGUACUAUCCGGGAGACAGACUGCGGGUGCUAACGUCCGUAGUCAAGAGGAAAACAAUCCAGACCGCCAGCUAAGGCCCCAAAAUCAUAGUUAAGUGGGAAACGAUGUGGGAAGGCAUAGACAGCUAGGAGGUUGGCUUAGAAGCAGCCACCCUUUAAAGAAAGCGUAAUAGCUCACUAGUCGAGUCGGCCUGCGCGGAAGAUGUAACGGGGCUAAAACUAUGUGCCGAAGCUGCGGAUGUAUACAUUGUAUACGUGGUAGGGGAGCGUUCUGUAAGCCGAUGAAGGUGGAUUGAGAAGUCUGCUGGAGGUAUCAGAAGUGCGAAUGCUGACGUGAGUAACGACAAAACGGGUGAAAAACCCGUUCGCUGAAAGACCAAGGGUUCCAGUCCAACGUUAAUCGGGGCUGGGUGAGUCGACCCCUAAGGCGAGGCCGAGAGGCGUAGUCGAUGGGAAAUUGGUUAAUAUUCCAAUACUUCAGUGUAAUGCGAUGAGAGGACGGAGAAGGUUAAGUCAGCCUGGCGUUGGUUGUCCAGGUGGAAGGCUGUAGGCAUGCAUCUUAGGCAAAUCCGGGGUGCUCUAUGCUGAGAGCUGAUAGCAAGCUAGUUUACUAGCGAAGUGGCUGAUACCAUGCUUCCAGGAAAAGUCUCUAAGCUUCAGUUACACUGGAAUCGUACCCGAAACCGACACAGGUGGUCAGGUCGAGUAGACCAAAGCGCUUGAGAGAACUCUGCUGAAGGAACUAGGCAAAAUGGUACCGUAACUUCGGGAGAAGGUACGCUGUUGACGGUGAUGGGACUUGCUCCCUGAGCGGUUGACAGCCGCAGAAACCAGGCCGCUGCAACUGUUUAUUAAAAACAUAGCACUCUGCAAACACGAAAGUGGACGUAUAGGGUGUGAUGCCUGCCCGGUGCUGGAAGGUUAAUUGAUGGGGUUAGCGUAAGCGAAGCUCUUGAUCGAAGCCCCGGUAAACGGCGGCCGUAACUAUAACGGUCCUAAGGUAGCGAAAUUCCUUGUCGGGU